AUACGGAGGGUGCAAGCGUUAAUCGGAAUUACUGGGCGUAAAGCGUGCGUAGGCGGCUCGUUAAGUCAGAUGUGAAAGCCCCGGGCUCAACCUGGGAACUGCAUUUGAAACUGGCGAGCUAGAGUAUGUUAGAGGGGGGUAGAAUUUCUGGUGUAGCGGUGAAAUGCGUAGAUAUCAGAAGGAAUACCAGUGGCGAAGGCGGCCCCCUGGCCCAAUACUGACGCUGAGGUACGAAAGCGUGGGUAGCGAACGGGAUUAGAAACCCCGGUAGUCC
rnacentral:rRNA from 1 species